AUUGAACGCUGGCGGCAGGCCUAACACAUGCAAGUCGAACGAGUGGAGGACGGGCGAGUAAUUCAUGGGCAUCUAGCUUAUGGAGGGGGAUAACUACGGGAAACCGUAGCAAAUACCGCGUAACAUAGGAUGGGCUCAAGCGGGAUUAGGUAGUGGGUGAGGUAAAGGCUCACCAAGCGGACGAUCUCUAGCUGGUCUGCGAGGCGGACCAGCCACACUGGGACUGAGACACUGCCCAGACUCCUACGGGAGGCAGCAGUGGGGAAGAGUGCGCAAUGGGCGCAACCUGACCCAGCCAUGCCGCGUGAAUGAAGAAGGCCUUCGGGUUGUAAAGUUCUUUCGGUAGAGAAGCGUUAACUACCGAAGAAGCACCGGCUAACUCCGUGCCAGCAGCCGCGGUAAUAC
rnacentral:rRNA from 1 species